UUCGCAAUGCCCGAAAGGGUGACGAAGCGACGCCGCGUGUGGGAAGAAGGCCUUCGGGUUGUAAACCACUGUCGGGAGUUAAGAAAUGCAAGGAUAUGAAUAGUGUCUUUGCUUGACUAAGGCUCCGGAGGAAGCCACGGCUAACUCUGUGCCAGCAGCCGCGGUAAUACAGAGGCGGCAAGCGUUGUUCGGAAUUAUUGGGCGUAAAGAGCACGUAGGCGGCUAUGUAAGUCGGUUGUGAAAGCCUUCCGCUCAACGGAAGAACAGCAUCCGAUACUACAUGGCUUGAGUGCGGGAGGGGAGAGUGGAACUUCUGGUGGAGCGGUGAAAUGCGUAGAUAUCAGAAGGAACGCCGGCGGCGAAAGCGGCUCUCUGGCCCAUAACUGACGCUGAGUGUGCGAAAGCUAGGGGAGCAAACGGGAUUAGAUACCCCGGUAGUCCUGGCCGUAAACGAUGGGCACUAAGUAGAGGGGUUUU
rnacentral:rRNA from 1 species